rnacentral:misc_RNA from 1 species
UACAGAGGCCACGAGCGUUAGGCGGAAUCACUGGGCUUAAAGCGCGUGUAGGCGGAUGCCUAAGUACCUUGUGAAAUCCCCCGGCUCAACCGGGGAACGGCUCGGUAUACUGGGUGUCUUGAGGUGCUCAGGGGCGAGCGGAACAGACGGUGGAGCGGUGAAAUGCGUAGAUAUCGUCUGGAACGCCAAUGGUGAAGACAGCUCGCUGGGGGCAUACUGACGCUGAGACGCGAAAGCCAGGGGAUCAAACGGG